AUGGCGAAAACCAAGAACGCUGGUGGUGGUGAUGUUCUGUGUGCCGAAUUCUCUGAGCAGAAAAUGAGCCAACAUGGGCAACGGGUGCGGCUCCUUAACCAGAAGCACUCCUGGCUCCAAGGCCUAGGGCACCCUACAGCGAAGAUGACAGUGAAAUCUUUAAAGAUUUGGGGCAAAGGCUCUGAGUGCUACUGGGGCCUUUCUUACAUGGGGACCAACAUCGAUUCACCGCAGCACGCCACCUCUGAAAGAAGCGGCAGCGAGACUCAGCCUGGAAACACCGGCUCUGAAGCAGAAUUCUCCCCCCAUUUUUCAGCAGUCAUUACUACAAGCGAAAAGGAGACUAUCAAAGCCGCAUUGUCACAUGUGUGUGUGUGUGUGGAGAUAGCAUAUUUGGGGCAGCCGGGGCUGGUUACAAGAGUCUCUGUGUUGUCCAAGGCCUUGUUGACAUUUACAUCUUUUCAGAAGAUACCACAUUCAAGCGGGACUCUUGUGCUGCUCAUGCCACACUGCGGGCCAUGGGUGGGGGAAUAGUAGACUUGAAAGAAUGCUUAGAAAGAAAUCCUGAAAUGGAGCUUGAUUUGCCACAGUUGGUGUACCACGUGGAAAACAAGGGCCCUACUGGGGUGGAUCGGUGGGCCACCAAGAGAGGACUGAUUGCAUACAGAUCCAGGAAGCGGCUAGAGACAUUCCUGAGUCUCCUCAUCCAAAACCUGGAACCUGCAGAGACAGAGACAUAGCUGGACUCAACCUCAGUAUACGUAUAAAUGGAACUGUGAAACUACUUCCCAUUAUCUCUGUCUUUUGAAGAUAGCUUUGUCCUAUUGCUGGUAACAUUCACCUUCCUCUCUGAGGAGCAUUUUUCCAUUAUGUGUUCAUAAUAAUGUUAACUUCAAUAAAUUAAUAUUCAUGCAGCAAAAA